rfam:Termitomyces sp. J132 unplaced genomic scaffold scaffold135, whole genome shotgun sequence.
UGUCCCAUGGCUUAAUUGGUCACGGCGUCCAACUGUUACGCUAACUCUGCGUCAGUGUAACAUCGGAAGAUCGAGAGUUCAACUCUCUCUGGGACAG